rnacentral:rRNA from 1 species
CAGCCGCCGCGGGAAUACGUAGGGUGCAAGCGUUAAUCGGAAUUACUGGGCGUAAAGCGUGCGCAGGCGGUUUUGUAAGUCUGUUGUGAAAGCCCCGGGCUCAACCUGGGAAUGGCAAUGGAUACUGGCGAGCUAGAGUGUGUCAGAGGAUGGUGGAAUUCCCGGUGGAGCGGUGAAAUGCGUUGAGAUCGGAAGGAACGCCCGUGGCGAAAGCGAGGUCCUGGACGUUUACUGACGCUGAGACGCGAAAGCCAGGGGAGCGAACGGGAUUAGAUACCCCAGUAGUCCCUGUCUCUUAUAC